CUACGGGCCGCACCAGUGGGGAAUAUUGCACAAUGGAGGAAACUCUGAUGCAGCAACGCCGCGUGGAGGAUGACACUUUUCGGAGAGUAAACUCCUUUUAUAUAGGAAGAAGAUGACGGUACUAUAUGAAUAAGCGCCGGCUAACUCCGUGCCAGCAGCCGCGGUAAUACGGAGGGCGCAAGCGUUACUCGGAAUCACUGGGCGUAAAGAGCGUGUAGGCGGAUGAAAAAGUCAGUAGUGAAAUCCUAUAGCUUAACUAUAGAACUGCUUCUGAAACUCUUAAUCUAGAAUAUGGGAGAGGUAGAUGGAAUUUCUGGUGUAGGGGUAAAAUCCGUAGAGAUCAGAAGGAAUACCGAGUGCGAAGGCGAUCUACUAGAACAUUAUUGACGCUGAGACGCGAAAGCGUGGGGAGCAAACAGGAUUAGAUACCCUCGUAGUC
rnacentral:rRNA from 1 species